UUAAAUUGAAGAGUUUGAUCAUGGCUCAGAUUGAACGCUGGCGGCAGGCCUAACACAUGCAAGUCGAGCGGUAGCACAGAGAGCUUGCUCUCGGGUGACGAGCGGCGGACGGGUGAGUAAUGUCUGGGAAACUGCCUGAUGGAGGGGGAUAACUACUGGAAACGGUAGCUAAUACCGCAUAAC
rnacentral:rRNA from 1 species